rnacentral:rRNA from 1 species
UACGUAGGGGGCAAGUGUUGUCCGGAUUUAUUGGGCGUAAAGAGCGUGUAGGCGGCCAGGUAGGUCUGCUGUGAAAACUCGAGGCUUAACCUCGAGCUGUCGGCGGAAACCAUCUGGCUAGAGUCCGGAAGAGGCGAGUGGAACUCCUGGUGUAGCGGUGGAAUGCGCAGAUAUCAGGAAGAACACCAACGGCGAAGGCAGCUCGCUGGGACGGAACUGACGCUGAGGCGCGAAAGCGUGGGGAGCGAACAGG